GAUGAACGCUGGCGGCGUGCCUAAUACAUGCAAGUCGAGCGAACAGAUGAGGAGCUUGCUCCUCUGACGUUAGCGGCGGACGGGUGAGUAACACGUGGAUAACCUACCUAUAAGACUGGGAUAACUUCGGGAAACCGGAGCUAAUACCGGAUAAUAUAUUGAACCGCAUGGUUCAAUAGUGAAAGACGGUUUUGAUGUCACUUAUAGAUGGAUCAGCGCCGCAUUAGCUAGUUGGUAAGGUAACGGCUUACCAAGGCAACGAUACAUAGCCGACCUGAGAGGGUGAUCCGACACACUAGAACUGAGACACUGUCCAGACUCCUACGGGAGACAGCAGUAGGGAAUCAUCCGCAAUGGGCGAAAACCUGACGGAGCAACGCCGCGUGAGAGAUGAAGGUCUUCGGAUCGUAAAACUCUGUUAUUAUGGAAGAAAAAAUGUAUAAUUAUCUAUGCACGUCUUGACGGUACCUAAUCAGAAAGCCACGGCUAACUACGUG
rnacentral:rRNA from 1 species